rnacentral:ncRNA from 2 species
AUAAAAUUUAAUAGUGUCCUUCGUAUAUCCUCGAUAAUAUGGUUCGAAAGUUUCUACCAAAUCACCGUAAAUGAUUUGACUAUGAAGGCAGGAUCUUUGAUA